CUUACCUAAAGUGAAUCGACAGACUGAAGGUACCUUGUUAUUCCUUCGUGGGGGAAAAUGUCCAGAGCUCUAUGUACAUUUAUCCACACCCACCCGAUUGUUACUGCAGGGGGGGCGGGGGUGUUUUCAUACAAAUGUCAAUUUUGAGAGAAAAGUCAAAGGUGCUUCAGCCUUGUACUGUGUAUAUAUAUUAAAAAACAAAGUUUUGUAUGUUUUUAUUACUUUAAUUAUUGUUAUAAAAAGCCUGCCAUUUUUAAUAUGUGGUUUGGGGGGAUUUUUUGUUGUUUGUUUUCUUGUUUGGGGGUUUUUUGUUUUGUUUUUCUGGGCAAAAAAAAAAAAAAACAACCCUUGCUUUUAGUGUUUGUACUGCUGCUGGUCAGGACAUUAUUGAAGUGUUUUUAAAAAUUAAAGAAGAAGAAAAGUAAAAAGAGCUUACCACUGGCGCCUACGCGAGCACUUCAUUCUUGAGUUGCACCGGAGUGAGGCAGGCGCUGCACGCGCACCUUCACACGCACACUCCGUGAGAAGAACCUCUGAGGUGCGAGCAGUUCCUGUGACAGGGUGCCAAGGUGUCUCACAGCGGUGUGAGCAGGAGCAAAGCAGAAACUCAGCAGGGGCUUGGUUCAGAUGCAGAGCUUUGUAACAGCCUAAAGGCACGGUGAGCUACGUGCGACAGAACCUCUCCUCGUGGGCUCACUGUGAUGAGCACAGGAGCUGCUGGAAACGGGGAUAAUCGUAUCAGCACAAAGCGCGGGGCCGGGGGAGCCCGCCCUCCUUGCCCCAGUUGCUGGUUCAGGCUGGGUUGCAUCUAGAUCAAAAAGGCAGCUCUUGCUCCAGUGGGCCUAAACCAAAGGCCAAAGCAGCCAGUGGUUGGUGUGCCUGGGGGAGGGGAGAAGACCCACACAUCAGGCCGCGUGCGCCCCUCUGCCCCGGCCUGGGGACGGGCUGGCUGACCUUCAGGAAGGCCAGGCGCUGCGACCAGUGGCCACGCCCUCAGCCCAGACCUUAGCUGUGCAGAACAGCUUGCUGGCAGAUGGCAUGGUGUCACUUUAUCUGUUCCCACGCAGUUUGCUUUGUAUGCCUGCCAAGAAUCUUCCAGUUAUUAGCAAACUCAGACAAAAAGUGCUGCCAGUAUUAUCA
ensembl:lncRNA